rnacentral:rRNA from 1 species
CGCCGUCUAAUACCGGAUACGACCCAUGGUCUCCUGNCCGUGGGUGGAAAGUUUUUCGGUCGGGGAUGGGCUCGCGGCCUAUCAGCUUGUUGGUGGGGUAACAGCCUACCAAGGCGAUUACGGGUAGCCGGCCUGAGAGGGCGACCGGCCACACUGGGACUGAGACACGGCCCAGACUCCUACGGGAGGCAGCAGUGGGGAAUAUUGCGCAAUGGGCGAAAGCCUGACGCAGCGACGCCGCGUGGGGGAUGACGGCCUUCGGGUUGUAAACCUCUUUUACCACCAACGCAGGCUCCCAGUUCUCUGGGGGUUGACGGUAGGUGGGGAAUAAGGACCGGCUAACUACGUGCCAGCAGCCGCGGUAAUACGUAGGGUCCGAGCGUUGUCCGGAAUUAUUGGGCGUAAAGAGCUCGUAGGCGGCGUGUCGCGUCUGCUGUGAAAGACCGGGGCUUAACCCCGGUUCUGCAGUGGAUACGGGCAUGCUAGAGGUAGGUAGGGGAGACUGGAAUUCCUGGUGUAGCGGUGAAAUGCGCAGAUAUCAGGAGGAACACCGGUGGCGAAGGCGGGUCUCUGGGCCUUACCUGACGCUGAGGAGCGAAAGCAUGGGGAGCGAACAGGAUUAGAUACCCUGGUAGUCCAUGCCGUAAACGUUGGGCGCUAGGUGUGGGGACUUUCCACGGUUUCCGCGCCGUAGCUAACGCAUUAAGCGCCCCGCCUGGGGAGUACGGCCGCCAGGCUAAAACUCAAAGGAAUUGACGGGGGCCCGCCCAAGCGG